AUUGAACGCUGGCGGAAUGCUUUACACAUGCAAGUCGAACGGCAGCACGGACUUCGGUCUGGUGGCGAGUGGCGAACGGGUGAGUAACGUAUCGGAACGUGCCCAGUCGUGGGGGAUAACGUAGUGAAAAUUACGCUAAUACCGCAUACGAUCUAUGGAUGAAAGCGGGGGAUCGCAAGACCUCGCGCGAUUGGAGCGGCCGAGAUCAGAUUAGGUAGUUGGUGGGGUAAAGGCCCACCCAGCCAACGAUCUGUAGCUGGUCUGAGGGGACGACCAGCCACACUGGAACUGAGACACGGUCCAGACUCCUACGGGAGGCAGCAGUGGGGAAUUUUGGACAAUGGGCGAAAGCCUGAUCCAGCCAUUCCGCGUGCAGGAUGAAGGCCCUCGGGUUGUAAACUGCUUUUGUACAGAACGAAAAGGUUUCUACUAAUACUAGGAGCUCAUGACGGUACUGUAAGAAUAAGCACCGGCUAACUACGUGCCAGCCGCCGCGGUAA
rnacentral:rRNA from 1 species